UACGUAGGGGGCAAGCGUUGUCCGGAUUUACUGGGCGUAAAGAGCGUGUAGGCGGCCAGGUAGGUCUGCUGUGAAAACUCGAGGCUCAACCUCGAGACGUCGGCGGAAACCAUCUGGCUAGAGUCCGGAAGAGGAGAGUGGAAUUCCUGGUGUAGCGGUGAAAUGCGCAGAUAUCAGGAAGAACACCCGUGGCGAAGGCGGCUUGCCAAUACGCGCUCGACGGUGAGGGAUGAAAGCUGGGGGAGCAAACCGG
rnacentral:rRNA from 1 species